GACGAACGCUGGCGGCAUGCCUAACACAUGCAAGUCGAACGAGACGUUCCUGCCUAGUGGCUCACGGGUUCGUAACGCGUGGGAACCUGCCCUUAUGUUCUGAAUAACUCCCCGAAAGGGGUCCUAAUAACGGAUACUGUCUUCGGACCAAAGACUUAUCGCCUUUGGUUGGGCCCGCGUUUGUUUAGCUAGUUGGUAGGGUAAAAGCCUACCAAGGCGACGAUCCAUAGCUGGUCUGAGAGGAUGAUCAGCCACACUGGGACUGAGACACGGCCCAGACUCCUACGGGAGGCAGCAGUGGGAAUAUUGGACAAUGGGCGAAAGCCUGAUACAGCGAUGCCGCGUGAGUGAUGAAGGCCUUAGGGUUGUAAAGCUCUUUUAACCGGGAUGAUAAUGACAGUACCGGGAGAAUAAGCUCCGGCUAACUCCGUG
rnacentral:rRNA from 1 species